AGGAAGGCUGACAGCUGGGCUCCAACAGCCCCUUUUCCUCUUUAGCUUCCAAAACUUUCCAGGAAGGAGUGGAUCUGUUGUUUGGUGUGACAGCGCAGGGAGAGCAUGUCGCAGAAUUCAGCCGCAAGAAUUUGGAAAAAAUGGACAGAAGGACUGAAAUGAGGGGGGCAGAAGGUUGGACUGGGACAAAAGGCUCAAAUAUGCUCGAGGUGCACUGUGGUGAGAUCAAGGACAACAGAGGAGGCGUGAUGUGAUGAUAUUACACGUCAUGAGACACAUCACUGGUGUUCUGCUGUCCCCUUCAGUCUGGACUUUCACACGUGGAUAUCUGCAGGUACAGCGUGGCUGAGAACAGUUGUGAGCCUGGACCACAAAACCCUCCUCAUCCAGCGCUCUGGUCUUCCUGCUCAAAUAUCUUCUCAUGUGUCUUUUGUGCAGUGAACACUGCAGAGGAUCAAGCCUCAAUCUCAACAACUUGACUCGUUCCUUUCUUCCUUCCAUAGUUGUGUCAACAUUCACUACUGAAGCCUGGAUAAAAUCAAACCCCCUUCCCACUGUCCCAUCA